UCCUGGUUGACCUGGCCACCGGGCAGGCCAAAUUGAUUGACUUCGGCUGUGGCACCUACCUGCAAGACACAGCCUACACUCACUUUGCAGGAACACGGUCAUACAGCCCCCCGGAAUGGAUGCAUUUUGGCUGGUACUACGGCAAGCCAGCUACCGUCUGGUCCCUGGGCAUCGUGCUGCACCAGAUGGUCUGCGGGGAGCACCCUUUCAGGGGCUGCCAGAACAUCAGCUGGGACCAUCAGCUCUCGCUGCCACAACGGCUCUCUCCAGGGAAUUGAUGGGAAAGUUUAGGCCCAGCUCUGAGCACAUCCAGCAUGGCCUGGGCACGGGAAUAGUGGGGCAAAGCCAACAGGAGCCUUCUCCAACUGACCGGCGGGUUCUGGUUUCUCUGCCCAGAGUGCCAAGAUCUGAUCAGGCGGUGUUUAUCCAUGCUGGACAUGGAAAGGCCUUCAUUAGAAGAGCUGUUGUGUGAUCCCUGGAUGCAGGACGUUCAUCUGCCCUAGAAGAAGGGAGAGAGCCACAGGCACACUUUGAUGCAAGGCCCUGCUGGGGCCCUGGGCAGAACCCUGACAGCCUGGUCUCAGCCCCAGGGAAGGAGAAGGAGCCCCUGGAGAAGCUGUACCAGGUGGGGCUGCUGCUGCUGGAGACAGCGAGGAAGACAUCAAGGAUGACAACCUCUUGCUCCACCUGGUCACCGGCAAGCUGAAGAUGAUGUCACUUUGAUUCUGGCACCUUCUCCAAAGCCAGGCUCCACAGGGAAUUUGCAGAUGAGUCCACACACAGGGGAUGCUCCCAGAUUUGGGCAUUGCACAGCCUGGCCGGGAACAGAAGGUUCCCCUUUUGCUGGGAUCCUUCAGUUGGCUGCCCAGCUGCUUUUGGCAGGGCUCGGGGCAUGGGCUGGGGUGGGUACGAAAUGGGAGUGGGCUCCUGGCCCUGCCAACAGCCCCCACCACCCACCGUGUCCCGGGCUGGGGCUGGGGCUGGGGCAGCCAGCCCAACACAAACCAACCCCCAUGGUGGGAGCAGAGGUGGGACUCCAGAACCUGUGCAGGGGCUGCUUUGCUUUGCAGGCAAGGAAGGGCUUGGGCUGCUCCCCUGCCCUUGUUUGCUUUGGGAUCACUCUUAUUUUGGGGGGCAGUGCAGGGGGAAGGGAGAAACCUGGGCUUCCUUCACCCGUGGGUGGGUUUUUCCCUGGCAUGCAGGGGUUGGGCCUUCCUCAAGCCCAAGACAGAGAUAUGAUUUUUGACCUUUUUUCUUGUUUCCCCUUUUUGUCUGUAAUCUACUUUCAAUAAUUUGUUGUGUGUUUUUCUAGAGGAAGCGUUCUAGGUGGGGUCCAGUCUGGAUGGGGAAGUGCUUGGGAGCAGCUGCGGCGUGGAUGGGCCGUGCCCUUGGAGAAGGCUGAGGACAUCGUUUGGGACCAGCUUUUCUUCCAGCGGUGGAUGGCGUCAGGUGGGUCCCGUCUGCUUGGCAUGGUGGGAUCAGAGCUUUGGGGAGAUGGCAGCGAGCACAGGAGCAUCCUGCUCUGGGCAGCUGCUGAGGGCUGGAUGUGCCGUGGCUGGCUGCAGGCUGGGCACAUGUCCUGCCCUCCUGCUCUGCUGCCAAAGGCAGCAGUGAUGGGCAGCUCUGGGCACCGCUCUGGGCACGGCCA